GAUGAACGCUGGCGGCGUGCCUAAUACAUGCAAGUCGAGCGAACAGAUAAGGAGCUUGCUCCUUUGACGUUAGCGGCGGACGGGUGAGUAACACGUGGGUAACCUACCUAUAAGACUGGGAUAACUUCGGGAAACCGGAGCUAAUACCGGAUAACAUUUAGAACCGCAUGGUUCUAAAGUGAAGGAUGGUUUUGCUAUCACUUAUAGAUGGACCCGCGCCGUAUUAGCUAGUUGGUAAGGUAACGGCUUACCAAGGCAACGAUACGUAGCCGACCUGAGAGGGUGAUCGGUCACACUGGAACUGAGACACGGUCCAGACUCCUACGGGAGGCAGCAGUAGGGAAUCUUCCGCAAUGGGCGAAAGCCUGACGGAGCAACGCCGCGUGAGUGAUGAAGGGUUUCGGCUCGUAAAACUCUGUUAUUAGGGAAGAACAAAUGUGUAAGUAACUGUGCACGUCUUGACGGUACCUAAUCAGAAAGCCACGGCUAACUACGUG
rnacentral:rRNA from 1 species